rnacentral:lncRNA from 1 species
UACCACGGAACAUGCUCUUCAACAUAGGAAGAAGUCAUCAACGGUGUUCUAUCAACAACACAAGCUCCAUUCACCUACAAGAACAGAAUGGAAUAUCAAGUACUUGGAUCGUUCAAGCAGAUUACAACCAACAUAUAUAUAUAUGUAGAAGUACAUCAGGAAAUAUGAUGGAGCAAUCGGACAACAAAUACAUUAAGUAAACAGCCCAACCGAUGAGUGAUGACGACAAGCAAAGAGUAUAAACCCAGGUUUGGACAUAAAUAGUGUCAACUCAAGCAGAACAUAAUAAGGCAGUAAACUCAAGCAGAACAUAAUUAAGCACGAUGAAAGGGACCAUCCAAUUAAAUUCCAUUCCCAUCUUCUUCAGUAAGGACAGGCAAAACAUCCCAGCAUAUCUCAAGUCGAUGAAUUAUUCUAGCAAUAACCAAAUUAGAAACAUCCCUUGUUGUUCCAUUUAACCAUACUACAAGACUGUAGAAGAAUCACCCUUGGUGAAUCAAAUCAUAGCAAAUCGAGCAACAGAUACAAGAGGCACAUCAGGCCUAGCCAUUUUUGUUUCAGUAAUUUAGAAAGAGGGGCGAUGGGGCACGGAACCUUGAGGCCCUGUUACGGGGUUGUGUUUGAUGAAGGUUGCCCUUUGGGGCGGCAGCUGCAGCUCCGCCAGAUGCAGCAGCAGCUCCUCCUACCGGCACGACGGCGGUGACAGCACAAAUGGUCACCUAUGUGACAUUUCAGAUCAUCAUUACAGAAUUUAAUUUAUUUAUUCAAGACGCAAGCAGCAAAGAUAGUGUCCACCUUCGCAUAUAGAACCGAGCAUAGAUUUACAGCACAUCAAUGAUUCAAGUAGUUCAAGACUUAAUUACUUUUUCAACAUCAGGGUAAGAGAUAUGGAACAAAAAUGCACAAAUGGUGCCUAUUGAGUGAGAGCAAGAAUAAUAAAGGGGCACAGCUGUGUGAAACUGUUAUCAGCAUUGUUUCAAAGUUUACUGUGGCAUAUUUUUCAUGAUCAGUAUGACUUCUUAUAAAUAAUAACCAAUAGUACUGCCGCCAGAUCCUUACACAUGUAUAAUGGCAUGAAUAGAGCAAUAGAGCAAUGCCCAAUCCUUACACAUGUAUAAUGGCGUGAAUAUGCAAGUUAGACCUAGAUGUUACUAACAAGUGUUAUUUGCAUAAUUAAUGAAUAAGUGUGGUAUUUCUGACUAGCCAGAAUCAAUCUUUGUGCAUACAUCUGGCCAUGUUGUUCCUUGCCAAAUAAGCUCCCAAAAGUAGUAUUAAUAAAAUUGAAACAGAAUAACAUUUACAGGACUACAUGAACCACAACAAGAAAUUUUCUGUUGCGAGUAAGCUACUUGCCUUUGUCCAUUUGCUCCCACCAAGUCAAUCUAUUAUACAUCCCUUGAUCAUCAGCGAAUGGAGUUCCCUUCUUCCAGUGGAAGAAGUUGUAUGUAAUCUGAAAUGAAGAUUCAGUUAGGAAAGCAAUGACAAUAGAGAAAUAAUUUCUAGAUAGUAUGUUUCAAGCUAUAAUCUUAUGAGAAAAAUAGCAAUAAUUUGUACUUCCAGAAUUGAGGUUGGGCCAACUAGAACUACAGUAUUUACUGCCAGAAUGAUUUCAUGAAUUUUGCCACUACAUGAUUAUAUUUAAAGUAGCAAAAGAAUUAUUAAAUGCAGGCUAUUUAUUUGGCUAUUAUGAAACAGUAAACCUUCAAACUAGAAUACACUUUAUUAGUUGGCAGGAUUGGCGAAUGUGUCGUAGCAAUCUAAGAAACAGAAGUGCAUUUCUAUGUGGUAAAAUGAUGUGCCUAGUUGCUGAAAAAUGAUGUCUAUUUAUGUUGACAGAAUGCUUUUUAGGAGUUGGCAUCCAGUUCCUAUUGAGCUAUACAAGGAGGCUAGAAUUGAGCAUUGUCGUGCAACUAGGGACUUGAGUAGCUACGGCUGCUAUGUGCAACAUGUGCUCAUCAACAACAAAAAUUCCCACACUCAUCAAUUAGUAGAAAUGAAACUGAUAGUAGUAUAGUAGGUGUGGUCUGGUCCUAGCAGCAAAAAAACUUGUCACUUAUGCAUCAGAGAGAGGGGGACUACCAAAUUGAGUUGCUCUUUCAUCCAUGGUGGCGUCCCUGCAUCCAUGUAGCUGCUGCUGCUGCUGACCUUGAAGAUGCAGCUCGUCGUUCUGCUGUUGUACCAAACGAACCUUGUCGCUGCUGCACGCAUAAUAACAAAUAAGAAGUGGUUUGUCAGAUCAAACCAGAACCUUCCAUGAGAGAGAGAGAGAGGGAGAGGGAGGGAGGGAGAUUUCAAACCUUCCAUGGGCAGUAGCUAGGAGGAGUAGGCAGAGCAGAGGAGGGAGCAGCAUCUAGGAGGAGGAGGCAGAGCAAAGGAGGGAGCAGCAGCAGCACCAGAGCAACCUGCACACACAAAACAAACAAACAAACGCAGGAAUCAGAAGUGAGGAGAAGAAGAAAUGGCCGACUGCCGACUGCUGGAAUUGCCGGAGAUGGCCGGCUGUCGACUCGCGUUUGCCAUGGACGUCUCCGCCACCGUGCCCUCAUCGCCCCGUCCCCAUCCAUCCAUUGGUGGGUGGGUGAAGGUCUACAGUGUCGGGCCUCAUCCGCCCAUGGGUCGGACGGACCUGAGGGAGGGAGAGCUAGGGAGCGAGGGAGGGAUGUCGCGGUGGUGAUGGGGUUGGGGGAGACGGUCACCGGUGGGGUUGGGGGUGGGUGUCGGCACCNNNNNNNNNNNNNNNNNNNNNNNNNNNNNNNNNNNNNNNNNNNNNNNNNNNNNNNNNNNNNNNNNNNNNNNNNNNNNNNNNNNNNNNNNNNNNNNNNNNNNNNNNNNNNNNNNNNNNNNNNNNNNNNNNNNNNNNNNNNNNNNNNNNNNNNNNNNNNNNNNNNNNNNNNNNNNNNNNNNNNNNNNNNNNNNNNNNNNNNNNNNNNNNNNNNNNNNNNNNNNNNNNNNNNNNNNNNAAUGAGGAGGAGCCACCGCGGGGGAAGCGUGCGCGAGCAGGAGAGGAUGAGGGGGGAGAGUGAGGCUGGCGGCGAGAUUGGAUCUGGGGAGGGGAUAGGGUUUGGGUGGUUAGAGGGGAUGAGGGGGGAGAAGGGGGCGGCGACGAUGGAUCCGGGGAGGGGAUAGGGUUUGGGUGGUUGGGCUGCCCGGGGGUGGGGUUCUUUUUCUUUCUUUCUAUUUUUUUCUUUAGAUAAAUGCGAUGGAUGGAUGGAUGCCAUGUCGUCGAUCCAUGGCACAAACAUUUCAACCAAUAAGAACAAAGCUUAUGUAAUUGUAUGAACAGCCUUCCAUGAAUGCAGCUUCCUCUUCAUGUCAGAAAAAAAGGAAAAUGGAUCUAGCUUCUGUUAGUUUGCCAUCUUCUCCUCGAGAAUAUAAUGACUAAAUUUGUCAUGUCACCAUUUACAAAUUCAGAAAAAUGUUCAUGUUUUUUUAGAGAACGAACUCGUUAAUUUGUAGUUUUUUCAAUCAUGGCAACCCCCUAUGCACAUUGUAUAUCCUUUUUGCCAUGUUAUUCUAGAAAACAUGGCAAUUUUCUUAGCUUGUUUUUACUUUGUACAUGGCAAAAAUAAAGCAGAAUAAGUUUUUUGUGAAAACAUGGCAAUUUCUGUUAAGCAACAUGGAAAUUCUUGUUAAAACCACAUGGCAAGUCAUAAGGAAUUUUUUAUUAAGUAAAAUCAAAUGGCAAAAUUAGUUGUUCCAUGGCAAUUUUCUUUUUUCUUUUUCAUGAUGGCAAAUUUAAUUUUUGUACCAUGGCUUCUUCUCUAUCUUCUUUUCAUGAUGGCAAGUUUAUUUUAGUACCAUGGAAAAAUGUAUUAUUCAUUCGCGGAAAUUUCCAUGUUCGUAGAACAUGGCAAAUUGUACUAUUCUGUCAUGGCAAAUUAUACUAUUCGAUCAUGGCAAUUUUCAACCCGCAUUUUACCAUGGUUAUUUUCAGUCUGUAGGCCUAAAGAACAUGGCAACUUUCCUUUUUGUAGCAUGGUUAAUUUAUUUUUUAUUACCAUGGCAAAUUUCAUUUUGCAUUUGCUAUUGCAAAUUUUUCUUUUUCUUACCCAUGGGAAAUUUACCUUUACUGCCAUGGCAAAAUUACAUAUCUUGCCAUGGCAAUUUUUUUAUUUUUUUAUUUUGCCAUGGCAAUAUUUCCUUUUGCUUUGUCAUGGCAAAUUUUGGAUUCAUUGACAUGGCAAUUUUCACCUUUUGUUUCGCACGACAAUAUUUUCAUUCAUUGAGAUGGAAAAUUUACAUUUAUUGUUACGGCAAAUUUACUUCAACAUACAUGGCAACAUUUUGCUUUUUGGUUUUGCCAUGGCAAUAUUUUUCAUUAAUUGACAUGGCAAACUUGCAUUUAUUGCCAUGGCAAUUUUAUUUUAACAUACAUGGCAAAAUUUCCCCCUUUAGUUUUGCCAUGGCAAUUUUCCCUUUUGUUCCCCUGGGCAAAUUCAUGUCUACUGUCAAGGCAAAAGUACUUCAACAUACAUGGCAAACUUUAACUCUUUGUUUUGCUUUUACAUGGCAAUUUCUUUUCUUUUUCUUGACUUUCCAUGUUGGCGAAAUUAUAUUUUCUACCAUGGCAAUUUUAUUUUCUGUAUCACGGAAAAUUUCAUUUUUUUCCUUUUCUGUUAUUUUUUUUAGCAUGAUGGCAUUUUUAUUUUACCACCAUGGCAAUUUUAUUUUUUGUAACGUGGCAAAUUAUUCUGUUGGACCAUGGCAAUUUUUUUCUUUUUCUUUACUUUUCAUGAUGGCAACUUUAUUUAGCUACGUCGCAAAGUUUUUCUUGUAACAUGGACGAUAAAAAUUGUCUACCAUGGCAAGCUCAUUUAUGUGCAUACAUCCUCCCUUUUUCAAUUUUUCGAUAAAUUUCUUUUUAAGUAAAUUAUUUUUGAAAUAAAACAUGGUGAUUUUUUCUCUAAUAACAAUAAAAAUUAUGUUUUCGUCUUUUUUACUACGAUGGCGAUUUUAUUUGAUUACCAUGGCAGUUUUAUUUUUUAUGUAUUAUACCAUUGGACCAUGGAAAAUUAUUUUUCUUCUUAUUGUUCAUGAUGGCAACUUUAUUAAAUAAUCCUUUUCGGGAUGACCCGUCAUGAUGAAGCCCAGAGCGAAUGUCAAUUGGUUAAUGAGAAGAAAAACAAAUUUGGGCUUUCAUUUGUCUCAGAAAAAAAAACUAGUUUUGUUCGCGCCGGAACUAAUUUUAUUUCCCACGACAAUAUUCGAACGACAAUAUUUUCCCUCGUACCGAACUUCAGUUCGGACCGCUCGCGUCCCGGCCCGAACGUUCAGCAUAUAUCGAGGUCCUUUAUUAUACAUUUAAAUUCUUUUUUUCUAUUUUUGAGCAUCAGUACAGACACAAGCGCUCAUAUACACGCGCAUACACUCACCCCUAUGAACGCACUCACGCACACCCUACCCUCCGAGAGACUGAGCCGGCAUACCAUCUUGAGAAUUACGAAGUCACCGUAGGCGCUUCGUCGUCGACGAGAACGUCUCCUCCAAUUGAAAGCACAUCGCCGGAAAUCCUGAAAUAAAUUCAGAAAUAAUGCGAGCACCAGGAUUUGAACCCUGAUAGGUUGGGGAUACCACUGUCCACCUAACCAUCUCAACCACAGGUUGGUUCGCAUUAUACAUUCAAAUUCAUUUAAUGUGGUGUAACUACUAAAAGAGUUUCACUUUGAUGCAUGAGCAACAAAUGGAGACGUUUGAAACCAUAAACACAAAUUUAUAGCGCCAGCAUCUAAUUACUCCUUAUACUCUUGUUAUAUAUAGUUCGAGUCGGACAGAGAAACAAAUCAGACGACCAUGGCCCCUCUCCAAGCUCUCUCCUCCGUCCUCGUCCUCCUGCUCCUCACACAGCACGCGCGCACGGCGAGGGCGAGCACGCUGGAGGACACGUGCAGGCUCGUCGGCACCGGCGGGGCGCAGGACUACGACUUCUGCGUGAAGACGCUGGGGGCGGACCCGGCGAGCGCGAUGGCCGACGAGCUCGGCCUGGUGGUCAUCGCGGUGAAGAUCGCCAUGGCGACCGCCAAGGCCACCGGCGACCGCAUCGCCCGGCUGCAGGCCUCCGAGACGUCGCCCCGGCGGCGGCUGGUCCUGGACGAGUGCGCCAACGACUACGCCUUGACAGUGCGCUGGCUGGGGCGCGCCUCCAUGGACUUGGCCGCGGGCGGGGACGAGGACCGGCUGACGGAGGCGGCCACCCUGCUGGAGCACGUUCGUGGCACGCCGGCGCGCUGCGACAAGGCGUUCGUCCUCUGGGCCGGCGAGAGGACGCCGCUGACCGACGCGGACCACGAGCUCAACGGGGUGACCGUGCUGGCGUUGAAAAUCUUGCGCCAUUGCUUAAAUGACGGGGUAAAAUGAGCAAGUAGCACGAGGCCUUCUUCUACCUCCGGAAGAAAAUGAUCAUCUUUUCCGGCAGUGAAAUAUGUGAUGUGCAACAAUAAAAUGAGUAAUAAUAAUAACUUGCAAAAUUUCCAAUGGAGAUUGUAGAACAUUGUGGUCUUAUCAGUAUUUAUUUAUUUCAAAAAUGACGCUGAAGAUUUUCUCUGAUUCACAAGAGUUCAUUCAGAUCAGGCGAGGAAGGUUACCAUUCGAUUUUCACUGACAAUUAGGUUUUUGAUUGAGGGUUCUGUGAUUCUCCAGCUACAUGUCUUGGGUACGUGGUACCUUUCUCUGACUCUUCUUUUCAUUAUGUAACCUCUCUGGCCUUUACAAAAAAGACGUUCUCAUAACUAAAUGUCUUUCUUGUGAUUCUGAUAGGCCCACCUACGACACAUGCAUGUACACCAUGUUUCUCUACUGUAAUUUAAUGUUAUAUUUAGAUGUUACAAAAAAAUUAUUUACAUGUUACACAAAAGAGUUCAGGGUUCACUUAGAGGAAUAAUUGCUUUGCAGGUAUACAUUUACUGAAAGGGACUGAUGUGCUGAACUUUCGAGAAUUCCGAUUGGUCGUUAAUAUAACCUUUUCUCCUUUUGUUGAAAUGUCCGAAGGAAUUUCCCUUAUUUUAGGUUUUCAACUUGAGGAGUUUCGUGCUUUUUGAGUGGAGCCAUCCACAUAUAUAAUAUGAUUCUCAAAAAUUCAUUAUGAGGUAAAAUCAUUAUAUACAUAUUGUUUCCUGUAUUUUUUGUGUGAGUAGGGCCAGCUUAUUGCAUGAUUAAUAAGACAUUUUUGUGUAGUUCACCGUUUAUUUUAUUAUGUCUGUAUAAACAAGAUUUUUUGGUUAUUUGGCCUCACAAAUGUUCUUUCUUGAACAGCAACCAGCAGAGAACAAGAACAACAAUAGUGAUGAGAAAGGAAGGAGCCGAGUAUGCCACACACUGAUACGAUGGUUUCCCCUGUGUUCUCUAUAUAUGGUAAUCCACUUCUUCACUGACUCAAAUUGUUUACUGGUGAGCUAACAAGAUGGUUUUGUGUCUUCCCUCUUUCUUUGUAAGUGAAUGACUUCAGGUUCUUGGGCAUUAUUCAACUGCCAUACUUGUGGGAAAUAAAUGUACUAAACUUGUGAGAUGGAUUGAUUAAUGGGCAGUGGAAUGGGAUUAGGGCUCGCAAUUUACAAACAAUGAGUUGCAACUAUAAAGAAUGGAUUGAUUAAUGGGCAGCAGAAUGGGAUUAGGGCUCUGCAUAGUUAUGAGUUGCAACUACAAAGAAUGGAUUGAUUAAUGGGUAGUACAAUGGGAUUAGGGAUCUGCACAGUUAUGAGUUGCAACUACAAAGAAUGGAUUGAUUAAUGGGUAGUGAAAUGGGAUUAGGGAUCGCAAUUUACAAACAACUCAAAAACGGUAAAAGUAACAAAAAUAUGAGUCGCACUUGGGUACGUGGUUGAAAAGAAAAUGAAACAUUGAAAUGCUUCUGCCUCCCAAAGAGGCGUACCAGCAUUUUCAUCGAAGGGAAAAUGUUUCAGAAUCUGGGGGUUUCAUCACCUGCUACUGUAACUGUUGUGUGUAAACAUGAGAGGUGCGCCUCUCAUUACAUUCCAUAUUUGCUUGAAUGCAAAUGUUUUAACUAUUAUGUGUAUAUAAAUGAGAGACGCAUUACCUCCAUAUUUGUUGGCAGGUCAAUGUUUUUAGAUAGGGUGCUAUUCAAUUCUAAUUGAUUUGCUCCAGGUAAACCCACGGGUCCUCGUCCUAGGGUUUCCGCCGCCGCCAUGGGCGACUCCCUUGCUUCCGCCCUAGUCUAAGCCGUUUCUCACCAUGAGUCUACGUGGUAGUUCGUCCUCCGGAUUACGGAGGGAGUCUAAGCCGUCUACGUUUCGUCUCGGAAGGAAGGAGCACCCGUCUGGGGCCGUGACCGGCAAGGGAACUGUGGCGGGCGGGACUCUCAUAAGUCCUCCAGUCCGCCGCAAUCUUCCUGGCAAGAUUGCGCCUUUCAAUAACCCGCUCUUCGACCCUAAAGCUACGUCUGCAGCAACCGCGCGCUCUCCAUCGAUGUCGUCCGCUGGCGAUGGGGGUGAAAAAGGGGGGGCCGAUGAGGCCCCUACCCACCCGAAGUCGUUCGGUGGCGAUGCGAUGGUGCCCGCGCGGGGUUCCGGAGGUCAGAUCGAGCCGGCGGAAGAGUUUGAUCACACCAGCAACUGGGAUGAGAGGGAAAGUGUGGGGCUGGAUGGUCCGGAGGUCAGUAUUGGCGGCGAGGUGAACCUAGAUGAUGAUGUUGUUGUGGAAGAGGAACCUGCAGUGGAGCCGGUGGCGGCGCCGCCGCGAUGGAGAUUGCUAGGCCGUUACGUCAGCAUCGGGCGCCCAAACGUCGACGACAUGACGGAACACUUCAGCGAGGUCUGGAAGGUACGAACAAGCCUCAAUAUUGCAAGGAUUAAGAACAAUUGGUAUGCGGUGACCUUCUUCUCCGAGGGAUAUUACAACUUUGUAGCAAGAGGAGGAUCUUGGAUUUUCAAGGGAAACACACUCAUUGUUGGCCCGUUCAAGGAAGGAGAGCAGCCUUCUGAGGCUGUACUGAAUUCAGUCCCGAUCUGGGUCCGUGUAUACAAUGUUCCGUGGGGAAAGCAGACUAUUGCGUAUGACGAAUUUCUUGCAGGCUUGUUGGGUACCGUCAUGGAGGUGGAUGCUGAGGCUGAUGGGAGCAGGGUUCGCGAGUUCUUGCGUAUACGUGUGGACCUGCCACUUGGCCGCCGGCUCCAGACCAAAAUUACCAUCGGCAAGGACCCGGCGAAACAAGUUAUCUACCCACUCCGUUACAAGAGGGUGCCCCACUACUGCUUCUGGUGUGGAUUCAUAGGCCACGAUGGCAACCAGUGCGAGAAGAAAAGGUUGGGUGUUCCGACCCGAGCAUAUGAUGAAGGGUUGAGGUGCUCUCCGUACAGAAAGUUUGAGAAUAGAUCAGGCGUUUGUGGCACCUGGAACCCAGCCUGCAGCAAGACGGGGGCUGAACUUUGCUAGUAAUGCUCCCUCUGAGGUUCUUGGAAAGCCAAGAGAGAGGCGUAGAGGGAAGGGAAGUCAAGAGCAGCAGCAAACACCAGAGAUACCAGUACGGGUUGAUGCUCACGACGGUUUUGGCGAACACAGCAGCUCUGACGGACACAACAUGGACACGGACAUUUCUGAUCGUGUUUUAGCUAUGCGUGUACACUUGGCUAGGCAGAGAGCUGAGGCCAGCAGAGUCCGUACGGUGCGGGCAUCAUCUGAACCUCCAGAGUUUGUCUUCCUUGGAGGUAGAAUACCUGCGCCCCUGCCACUUUCAGUACGCCCACCUAGGAGUGAGCCGAGCCACAGCAGCAACCUUGGGAGCAAGGAUAUGAUCCCGGCCAUGCGUAACCUUCACGACACCUCAGAUUUUUCAUCUGCUGAAUCCGAUCAAUACAUGCAAGAGGCUGAUUCUGUUCUGGGGAAGAAAUUUUCACGUGGGCAAGCGUCCGACGACCUGAAUCCCAACCAGGGAGCUAUGGUGGUGCAUGCAAAGAGGGGCGUUGUCAACAAGCAGAAACGAGGGAAGACUCAACAGAGUGGCAAAGGCAAGAACCAAGAUGAGGAGAAGAUGGACUCGGACAGCAUGGAUGGAGUGGAGGCAACCGGCCUUGGGGCCGCCGGUAAACUGACGGGGUCGGGUGCGCCGCCCCGUCAGGAGCAAUGAAUUGGCUAAGUUGGAACUGCCGGGGGGCGGGGAAUCCCUCGACAGUUCAUGAUCUCGCGUCUCUUGUUAUGACGCAAUCCCCAAGUCUUGUUUUCUUGUGUGAGACUAGGCAAAAUAAAAAUAAGAUGUAUCAUUUGCGUAAUAGGUUAGGGCUUUCUGGUUCUGAAGGAGUCAGUAGUAAUGGUCGUAGUGGCAGCCUAGCACUAUUUUGGCAUGAGUCUAUGUAUGUCGAUGUGCAAGAAGCUAUUGAAAGAUUGAUUGACGUGUAUUUGCGUGUCUCCCCGGACAAGCCAUUAUGGAGAGCUACAUUUGUUUAUGGCGAACCGAGAGUAGAAAAUAGACACAUGAUGUGGGAUAAGCUCAAAGGUCUGCAUGCUCAGAGCGCUCUGCCAUGGGUGAUUAUCGGUGACUUCAAUGAGGGUAUGUGGGAUUUUGAGCAUCAAUCGGAAACUCCGAGACCUGCUGGUCAAAUGAUUAAUUUUCAGGAUGCACUUGAAGCUUGUGGACUCACUGAUCUUGGUUUUUCAGGGCACCCCUUCGCAUAUGAUAAUAGGCGGAGUGGCCGGGCGAACGUCCAAGUUUGGCUGGAUAGAGCGGUGGCGUCCAAUGACUGGAGAGACAUGUUUAUGCAAGCUUCGGUGGCAAACCUUGUAUCGCCAGCGUCGGACCAUAGUCCACUGCUCCUCAAGUUCUCGCUGGAACAGGACAGGUGGCCUCACAGCAGCCGCCGGUACGAGUUGAUGUGGGAGAGAUCGCCGGCGUUAGAGGCCAUUAUCGCAAACUCUUGGUCAAGCAAAGGUACGAAGAGGAACCUGGGAGAUGUACGGGAGGCCCUUGCUACUGUUAUGGCUGAUCUACACACUUGGAGUAAUAAAACUUUUGGCAAUGUUACACGGGAGCUUGAAAAGUCACGUACUAGGCUUGAGGAACUAACCAAUAUGAAUGCAGACCGAGCUUAAAUAAGAUUGGAGAUGGACAAGAUGAAUGAGCUGUUAUACAGGGAGGAAAUGUUGUGGCUCCAGAGAUCUCGGAUUGUUUGUCUAAAGGAAGGGGAUCGUAACACCAAGAUGUUCCACAGGAAGGCAGUUUGGCGAGCGAGAAAGAAUAAAAUCCGAGGGCUGGAGGAUGAGGCGGGUGUUAUUCACACCGAUUAGGCCAACAUGCUACAGAUGGUAAAAUGUUAUUUUCAUAAUUUAUUCACAGCUGACCCAAUGUUGGAUCCACAUGAUGUGUUACAGCUUAUACAGCCCAAGGUGUCCGUGGAGAUGAACAAUAAUCUAUGCAAGGAUUUUACCGAUGAGGAGAUUUCUAAUGCAAUGUUCCAGAUAGGGCCCCUAAAGGUGCCGGGGCCGGAUGGGUUCCCCGCGAGAUUCUUCCAGCGGCAUUGGGCGUGAUGAAGGAUUACAUAAUUAAUGCGGUUAAAUUAUUUUUUGCCUCUGGAGUCAUGCCAGACGAGAUAAACAGCACGGUCAUUGUUUUGAUCCCCAAGAUUGACUCGCCGUCCCGACUCACUGAUUUUCGGCCUAUCAGUCUCUAUAAUGUCAUAUAUAAGGUGAUAGCCAAAUGCCUGGUCAAUAGGUUGAGGCCUAUUUUGGAUGAGUUGGUGUCCCCAGAGCAGAGCGCCUUUGUACCGGGCAGAUUAAUUACAGAUAAUGCAUUAAUCGCUUUUGAGUGUUUUCAUGCGAUCAAACAGGAGAAGGACCCGGAGCAGAGCUUUUGUGCCUAUAAACUGGACCUGUCCAAGGCUUACGAUCGGGUAGAUUGGGUUUUCUUGGAGUGAGUGAUGCAACAAAUCGGUUUCUCUAACCGAUGGGUGGAUUGGAUAAUGAGGUGUGUCACCUCGGUGAGGUAUUGUGUGAAAGUCAAUGGAGCCCUCUCGGAUUCAUUCGCACCGUCUCGUGGACUACGGCAGGGAGACCCCCUCUCACCUUUCCUUUUCCUUUUUGUUGCUGACGGUCUUGAUACUAUUCUAAAACAGGAGAUUGCAACCAACCGCCUCACUCCACUCCGGGUGUGCGCCCAAGCUCCAGGCAUCUCACACCUCCUGUUCGCGGAUGACACCUUAUUGUUCUUUCGUGCUAAUGGAGAGGAGGCUGCCCAAGUCAAAGAAGUUAUCAAUACAUAUGCUAGAGCUACGGGCCAGCUCAUAAAUCCUGCCAAGUGCUCUAUAAUGUUCAGCCCCAAAUGUUCACAAGCUAACAAGCAGGAGGUCAUGCACAACUUGGACGUGGUGAAUAUGAGCUUUGAGCAGAAAUAUCUUGGCUUUCCAACGCCAAGUGGCCGCUUUUCAAAAGGGAAACUACACAAUCUUCAGCAACACCUGACAAAGAGAAUUAUACAGUGGGGAGAAUUGAUGUCCCAAGCAGGACGUGAGGUUCUUAUUAAGGCGGUGGCGCAGGCCCUACCCACCUUCCUAAUGAGUUUGUUUAAAUUUCCUAGAAGCACCUGCGAUGAUUUGGGGCAGAUGAUUCGUAGCUACUGGUGGGGCACGUACAGAGGCAAGAGGAAAACCCACUGGAAAUCUUGGGACUCGAUGCUAAGGCCCAAAUCGGCUGGGGGUAUGGGAUUCAAGGACUUCAGACUCUUCAACCAAGCAAUGUUAGCUCGGCAAGCAUGGCGUAUUUUGGUCAACCCGGAAUGUCUUUGUACGCGCGUCUUGAAGGCAAGGUAUUUCCCUAAUGGACGAUUAUAAGAUACUGUUUUCACUAGCAACGCGUCGCAAACUUGGCAGGCCAUUGUGCAUGGGUUGGAAUUGCUGAAGAAAGGCUUAGUCUGGCGCAUCGGUAACGGGCAGUCGAUCCGAAUUUGGCGGGACUCCUGGAUACCACACCCUGUUGGUCGGCCACCAAUUACCCAACAAGGAAGGUGCUGUCUCCGCCGAGUCUCGGAGCUACUAGACGAGCAUGGUGCAUGGCGCGGAACCCUACUUCAACAGUACUUUUUGCCCGUUGAUGUUCAGGAGAUACUAAAGAUUAAAGCGUCCCCUCGGCUGGGGGCAGAUUUCCUUGCAUGGGAUGCAGAACGUACUGGUAUCUUCACCGUACUUAGCGCGUACCGGCUGGCGCUUGAGGACAAGCUUUGUCCCUCUUCAGUCGCAGCGAGCAGGGCACCGGACGGGCGACGUGCCGUCUGGGCAUUAUUAUGGAGGUGCCCUGCUCCUCCUAAGGUGCGUGUGUUUGCAUGGCGUUUGGCUACUAACUCCCUUGCCACAUGGUCUAAUAAAUUUAGUCGACACAUGGAGGUUACUGAUAUAUGCCCAUUAUGUGGUCUCGAGCGCGAGGACACUUUUCAUGUGUUUUGCAGGUGCCCUCGGACGGUGCAUUUGUGGCGGACUAUGGCGGAGGUGUGGAGUAUACCGGACAUCGAGUCAGUCCGUAACACCGGCCCAGAGUGGCUCCUGAACCUAAUUGCAGAAAGCAAUGAAGGGGACCGGCUGCGCCUGAUUAUGCUUUUGUGGAGAUGUUGGCAUGUGUGCAACAAGAUCACUCAUGACAAACCGGCGCCGCCUGUGGAGGUAUCCCGUCGCUUUUUGCAGAGCUACGUAACCUCACUGCUCGGGAUCCAGCAGUAUCCACAGGGAGAUUGGGACAAAGGGAAGAUGACCAUCCAACAAGAAGGUGCAGAACAACCUAUAUCACACGUGGGAGGUGUGCCACGAAUAGUCCACAAAUGGAGUCCCCCACCCGCCAACUGGACGAAGCUGAAUGUCGAUGGCUCCUUUUCCCAUGAUGACGGGAGGGCCGGGACGGGAAUGGUGCUCCGUGACCAGGAAGGGGCCAUUAUUUUCUCCGUGUGUCGCUCGCUAUGGUCUUGACCGGACCCUCUACAUGCCGAGCUGGCUGGGUGCAUGGAGGGCAUAGCUUUGGCCCUCCAAUGGACAGAGUUGCCGUUUAUCGCCGAGUGCGAUAGUCUGCAGGCAGUGCAACUGAUAAAUGCCUCAGGACAAGACCGCUCGCAGUAUGCCAUGGUGGUCUCGGAAGUGAAGCAUCUUGUGUUGAAAGGGAGUGUCAUGUUAUUCAUAUUUCUCGAGAUCAGAAUAAUGUAAGCCAUGCGUUGGCGAAAUUUGGAAGGACGGAGGACCGUACUGUGGUCUGGCUCCGCUCCGGCCCGGACAAUAUCCCUAGCUUGUGUAGGGAGGACCUUCUUGGCUCUUGAGUAAUACAAAUCCCUUUUACCCCGCAAAAAAAAAUUCUAACUGAUUUAACAUAAACAUUUUGGCUAAAAAAAGGUUAAUCAAUUGACAAUAUUGCAACAUAUGCAUGAGGAUCCCUCGAAAAAAAACAUAUGCAUGAGGAUAAUAUUUAUGCUCCGUUGAAACGCACGAGCAAUUAUCUAGGAUGAUGGGACUUAACAAAUUGUCAAAUUUGGAGGGAACACCAGAUGGAUUUGGAUUGGGCUGACAACAAGUGAAGUAAUAAUAAUAGAGUGGCCAAAGAGCUGAAGUUGAGGGGCUCCUGAUAGAUCCAUUUGUUGGCCCGUGGCAAUGCACGGGCGUUCUACUAGUUUUCAUUAAUAGAUCCAUUUCCCCUCAAUCUCUGGCAAAUUCUUUGGGGCGUGCUACGCGUCAGCCGGCGGAUCUUUUUAAAAGAUCCAUCAGGUUCUGAGCCUUCGAAUCUGACAUGAUCUCGCGGCCGAGCGUCUUCCUCACUUUUGUAACAGAAAUCGUGUUGUGAGAACCCUUUUGCAACAUAGGUCUUGUUGCAUAAACGUCAUCGCGUAGAACAACACUAGCACACUUGUGGGAACUGUUGUUAUGGCGGCACCAGCGGUUGUGACUGAGCUCGAGGAGGCAACAACCAUGCAUGCUUGUCCACGCCGGUGCUCCCUCGGGAGGGCGGGGUGACGGCGGACGCGGCUCCCCGUGGAUGCGGAUGCCGGUGCUUUCCCGAUACGGCGGACGCGACUUGAGGACUUGGGGCGGCUUCAAAUGGAACCUGCGUCCUGCGGGGAUGAGAGUUCGGAGAAAGAGAGGAAAAUGGCUGGGAGAAGACAACGGAGGUUUUUGAAGAUAAGGUAAGGGGCACAUGGCUGGUUGGGGCUAGUAAAAACAUAUGUGAACGUCUGCGGUAUGAUCAGAUGGGAUCCAAUGUUGUAUGGGCGGCGGAACGUUGUCCGUGAUCGGUGAAUGAUUUCUCUAAACUUUUUUACCAUUUGUUAAUUACAUUUGUCAAAAUUUUAUUGUGGAAGUGGGUACAUCUCAGUCGACUGAGACUUAACCUCAGUCAAGUGAUAUAGUACAAGGAGAAAAAGAAAAGAAAAAUGAAGAAUCCUUUUUGCAUGGAUCUCCAUGCAAGAUCAAAGGAAUAUAGCAUCGAUUGAGACAAAACAAAGUCUCAGUCGACGGAGUACUCAGCAAAACUAUUUUAUUAUCGGAAUCAAUUACUUCCGAACGACCAGUAUUUUAAGCUUUUGGGCCGAACGUGCUUUUCAUCAUUGGAUUCAGGUAUGAAUCUUAGAACAGAGGAAAUUAGCCAGGUCAGCUUUUUAUUUCGUUCGAGGAAAUUGACUACCGCCGCGAAUGCUCCCCACCACCACUCCUGUGUUUCCCCGUCCCAGCCACUCCUUACCCAUUUCUCUGCCACACAGUCGCCCCAUCUACCCCCACCAACACCGUCCCAGCCCUUUCGUUUACUCUGGCGACGGUGUUGGCGGUGAUCCCAGCGUGGUUCAGUGGCGCUAUGUGGAGAUGGAGGCUCACGCGCAUCAUGCGGUUGGUGGAUCUCGGCUGCUGCGGCCAUGUCGAUGGCGGCGGAGGCGAGGGACCCACACUUGCUGGUGUCGUGAUUCCAGUGGGCCGGAGCUGUUGGAGGUGAGGACUGGAGGUGCUCCUUUCCGCGCGUUGUCUCCGUCAGCCACCUCGACCCCUGGUGGAGGGGCGGUCUCAAGUCUCACCGACGGUUUCUCGGUGCGUGGCCCCGUGUUGAUGGCGGCAGAUAGACCGGCUGUAUGCCUGGUCGUGCUGCUAUUUUGGAGGGUAGGAGAUCAGGCUCGCGGGUGCCCGCGCCCAAUCUGAAGCCGGGAGGGAGACGCUCUUGUGUAGUUGUGUGUGCCCAUCGUCGCUGCAGCAGCUCCGCUCGUGCACGCCAGCAAGAGCUCCGCCGCCAGCUCCUGUCGCUUUGGGUCUUACAUCAUCUGCCGCAUCCCCAAACAUCAUCGACUGUGGCCCUAUCCGGUGAGCACCAACCUCUCUUUUUUGCUUGUAACUAGAUGCUGCUUUGUGGCACCACAAGAAAUAUGUCAACUUGUGACCCUUGCUAUUGGGCAUUGAAAGGUCAUUGUUUUCAUUUGCGACUUUUUUGUGACCAAAAACAGAAGGUCAAAAGCUGGCAGUCGUAAACUGAAAUUAGUGACCUUCUUUGUGAUAUGUAAAAGGUCGUUGGUUCCAUGACCAAAUUUUUGGUCACUAGCAACCUCCCCAUGCCACGUAGGCAUCCAGCGUGGCAAGCUGGUGUGACACAAGAUUCAGCCCGGUCCAAUUCGGUUUUCUACAUGGGCCUAGCCCAACAAUUCAGCCUUUUUACUGUAUAUUUUCUCUAUUAAUUUUCUCUAGCUAUAUGGGCCUAGCCCAACAAUUUGGCAUUUUUAUUUUCUAGGCAUGGCCUUUUGCGGUCCAUUUCAUUUUUAUUUUCGAGGGUUUUUUGUGGUCCAGUUUUUAGAUGGGUCCCAAUUGUCAGAUUUUUCCUGGCAGUAGAUCCACAUCGCUUUUUAAGCAGUAUAUAUAAAACAGGAAGAAGAAAAGAAUAUGAAAAUCUUCAAAUAACAACUAAAAUAGGUUUAUUACAAUAUAUUCUGUGCAGAACAGAACAUGUGAAACUCCAUACACUCGUUCACAUCACAACAACCAGUUUAACCUACAAAUAUUGCAUGCCCAGGAACUUAAAACUUCACGUACAUAACCAUACAAUAUUCCACACAAUCACAAAUAUUGUGAUUGAAAAAUAAAACACUCUGCCAAGUUAAAGCUAGCUAUUCUUGGAUACCAUGGAACAUGCUCUUCAACAUAGGAAGAAGUCAUCAAUGGUGUUCUAUCAACAACACAAGCUCCAUUCACCUACAAGAACAGAAUGGAAUAUCAAGUACUUGGAUCGUUCAAGCAGAUUACAAGCAACAUAUAUAUAUAUAUAUAUAUAUAUAUGUAGAAGUACAUCAGAAAAUAUGAUGGAGCAAUCGGACAACAAAUACAUUAAGUAAACAGCCCAACCGAUGAGUGAUGACGACAAGCAAAGAGUAUAAACCCAGGUUUGGACAUAAAUAGUGUCAACUCAAGUAGAACAUAAUAAGGCAGUAAACUCAAGCAGAACAUAAUUAAGCACGAUGAAAGGGACCAUCCAAUUAAAUUCCAUUCCCAUCUUCUUCAGUAAGG